rnacentral:ncRNA from 1 species
AUCGUUUUGUGCAUUUGGGUUUCUCCGGUUUAGGAAUGUUUCUUUAAUGGAUUACAUAUUCCGGGGAUUUCUAGGGAACCAGGUGAGAAUCCUGGACGGUCCGGCCACUGUGACUGGUUAACCUCGGUUAGCCAGAUAGUCAGGAACCAGACCCGAAUGCUUCAUACGG